AACGCUGGCGGCGUGCCUAACACAUGCAAGUCGAACGAGGUCCAUCCUUCGGGAGAAGACCUAGUGGCGAACGGGUGAGUAACACGUGAAGAACCUGCCCCGAAGACCGGGAUAACCCUCCGAAAGGAGAGCUAAUACCGGAUACCCCCACGAACCGCAUGGUUUGGUGAGGAAGUGGAUUCCGCUUCGGGAGGGCUUCGCGGCCUAUCAGCUAGUUGGUGGGGGUAACGGCCCACCAAGGGCAUCACGGGUAGCUGGUCUGAGAGGACGAUCAGCCACACUGGGACUGAGACACGGCCCAGACUCCUACGGGAGGCAGCAGUGGGGAAUCUUGCGCAAUGGGCGAAAGCCUGACGCAGCAACGCCGCGUGGGGGAUGAAGGCUCUCGGGUUGUAAACCCCUUUCAGCAGGGACGAAUCAAGACGGUACCUGCAGAAGAAGCCCCGGCUAACUACGUG
rnacentral:rRNA from 1 species